UAGUGAGGACUUAAGGAAACUCACAUUCUUUGGAGAGUUUUUCCUUGAUUCUCACAG
rnacentral:pre_miRNA from 1 species